CAUAUCUUAACUGCCAUGAUAGGCCUAAUGGUCUCUGCUGAACCAAGUUUCCCUUGAAAAAGAAGAUGGCAGAAUAUAGAAGACAAAGGGCCCUAGGCUGGAAUGUUCCUUUUAAAGCAGUGUUUCUAUCAAAUACUGUUAUAUUAAUUUACAUAUCUGGUUAAUGAUAGGCUUAGCAGAACAAAUGACAGAACUCUAUAUUUUAUGUAAGUAUAAAAUAUAUUUUUUUAUAUUUCGAGGCACUCUCUAAACUCCAGGUCCUUGAGGGCUUUGUGUCCCUGUCGAGGGCCUGCACACAUGGACUUUCACUAAAUGUGUGCAGAAAAAUAUGCAUGAAUUAUGCAAUAUUAGGCCCUUAAAGAAGCAUAAACCGACUGUGAAAUGCAUUAUACUACAGUGGUUGGAGGGGGCGGAAAGGAGGAAAAAGUACUUGUUAUGAGCAACAUUGUGAUUAAUUUUAUUAUAAACUCUUUUAUUUAGAGCAGACCUUGGAAUGAAUGAGGUGACCUUUUCUGAGAGGAUAAGAACGAAAUAAUAACUUAUUUUAUGAGGAGUGACUCCACUUUCUGUUCUUUAGAAUAUGCCAAAAUUUCUUUGAAUUGAGUUUUAAAAAUUCUUAGUAGGUUCAAAAGCAUUUGGUCUAAUAACCCUGGAAGAUUUGUUUCUGUAAUUGCUGAGGUCCAUUUUAUAUUUUUGCUGCUACUUCUGUGGAGCUAGCUUUGAAUGAGUUUUGCUUCGAACUUUUAUACAGAAACAUGCUAUGGAUUUUUAGAAAGGGCUAAUUAGGUCUUAUCCUUCAAAGCCCCUUAAAUAAGUCUUGCUGAUUUUCAGACAGGGAAGUCUGUUGCACUGGAGUUGGGGAUUAUCCUAAUGUUUGUUUUACAGAUAAGCCAAAAUUAUAUCAGGCAAGAUAAAUCAAUAUCAUGUCUGGCAUAACUAAUCUUGCUGACACAGGGUUCUAGUGAAUAAAAAAAAAAAAAAACUGUACUGUAUCAUGUAUCAUCUUUAGAGGUGGUAUGAUUUUUUUCCAUGAAAGAUAAGCUUUUGGUGGUACUCUUAAAAAUUGGACUUAUUGUUAAAAUCGCAAACUAGAGAAUAAUAGUUUAUUUUAUGUAUAUAUUUUUCUGAUUAUAAUAGUAAUAUAUGCUCAUUGUAAAAAAUUUAAAGACACAGAAACUGUAUAUAAAGAAAAAAAUUACCUGUAAUUUCACCGCCUUGAGGUAGCCACUAUUAACAUAGUGUAUGUAUUUUAUUUUACAUAGAGUCAGAUCAUAUUGUAAAUAGUUAUGUGUCUUUAUUAAUUUUCAUUGUGUGCAUUUCCUUUGUCAGUCUUCAAAGGCAUGAUUUUUGAUAGCUGUAGAGUAAUUCCACUAUAUGAAUUUAUCAUAACUUAUUUAAUGAUUCCUAUUUGUUGGACUAGUUUCUUAUUGUUAAUUACCGUUAAAUAAUGGAUUUUGUUUAAAACUAAUUUUCUUGCUACGGCAUUUAAUUUCCUUGAGUGUGGAGAGAAGUAAUUCUGUCCCUUGAUAAAGAAUUGUAAUAAAUCUACCUGAAACUUUUUCUUACAUCACCAAAUAACUAGAUAAAUUUCUUAAUUAUUUUUUUCUUUCGGGUUGAUUAAACCACCUAGAAUAUGAUCUGAGUGGUGAAGAAAGGGAUCUGAAAGCAGGAGUGAAGUUCGAGGCUGGAAGACGGUAGGGGCGGGGAGGGUGCCCCAAGCUAAUCCCUAUGUUUGAGCUGAGAGGGAAUUUCAGACACUGAAAGAGACAGGAGACGCCAAAGAACCAAAGAGAAAUGACACUUCAGCAUCAUUCAGCAAAGUUAUCAGAGACCAUUCCCUUGGAAGUCCUACAUCUCAAUACCUUUUGGGGCCAGCUCUGCAGCGGCAUUAAGUGGUGUCAAGGCAGUAAACUGCUGUCCUAUCCUCAUCUGUAGACUACUCACUAGGUUAGAGAAGAAAAACAUUUCAACCUACAUAUUAAUGGAUUCAGAAGGGCUUAGGAAAAAGAGUCAGCAAGACCCAUGUUCAAAAAGUUGCUGAGCCUCAGUUUCCUCAUCUGUGAAACGGGAGUAACAUAUCGCCACUCUCUGAAGUGCCCUUGGGGAGAGGGCUGCAGCACCUGAGGUUUGGCAAGGGGGCUCCCACAAGACAUUCUGACAGGUGUUCAUUGACAGCCAUGGGGUUACAUGGAAGAGUGUGGUCAAGGCCAGAUUCAGUGGGUGCAAGAAGGUGAGGAAGAUCGAAGGACAAGAGGACAGAACCAGAACCUGGAAUGUCAGAAUUCAAGAUGAAGCAUUUUCGCUUCCACCUACCUGCUGAUGCCUGAAAUCCUUGUAACAGGAGAGAAAGCCUCUGAUGCCCGAUAAGGAGAUAAAAGACUUAAUUAUGCAAAUCUACAGUGGAGCAGCUCUGUCUGAAACAUUCAUAUGAAAAUGUCACCAAUCAGCUUUUCAGCAGGCGGGAUGACUGAUAACCACGGGAAUGGCAGAGGCUUCCGCCACCCUUGACGUGAGCACAGGGAUGGGAAGGGAAGGCGAGGAAGCCCCAACAUAGGGCUGGCACCCGCUGUGCCCACAGGAGCAGCGUGGUGAUGUUUCCCGAGAUGACUCGGAUUUAGGGCAGCGAAUCCACGCGCGUGCCUGGUGUGAUGAUCUUCUGGGUCUUGGGGUGGAGCCAUGCGGCCAGGGCGUGAAGGUGUGUUGAUUCAGUCUUAUCUCAAGUGACGCCUGGUCUCAGGUGUGUUGUGGGGAUUUAGGGAAGCACUUGGAGCAGCUCCGUGAGGAGGUAUCACGGGGAGAACGGGGUCUUCCUCCCCUCCCAGGACUCUGGUGCCAGGCUGGGUCCCAGCAGUGAGAUGUUCAGCAUUUGAUAAUUUCAGAAACAGUUGCAUCUAACUUCUUGGAAGACCAGCUAAUUCUCCAUUCUCUGUGCUACUGGAGAGUUGAAGUAGUCAGACACAAAAUAUUGCAAAACUUUAAUGAAGUCUAUCUUAAGAGCAUCAUAUGUAGCAACAGUAGAAUUCCCUGAAGCUGAAAUGGUCCAGGACUCUUGAAUGACCAUCAUCUCCCUUAAUCUGGUGUCCAGAGUUAAAUUCAGUGCAAUACAUUGCAGAAGCAGAUACUCCUAAUGACCUCAGGCUUGUCAUUGAAGUGUUACAAAUUCAGCUGGAGCCCUUGAACUGCCUUUAAAUAAGCUGCUUUAGAUGUGGAGGAAGGUCUCGUUGAGCUUGUUGGUGAAAAGAGGCUCAGGAAGGUCCCGGAAGAACUGCUUCACCAUAUCUGCCACGUCGUAAGCGGAUUGGUCCUCGUAGCUGACGUUCUCAGGAAAGCUCUCGUUCAUUUGACUUUGGAAUGUCUAGAAAAUGCAGAACGUUGCCAAGAAGAAUCUAAAGAGCAUUUCUCUUCCUCUGGCAACUGCUCCAAAUUUCAUCAGAGGGCAUGAGAAGAAAGCAUGUCCUGUCAAAAGAAAAGCUCAAGAUGUCAAAUGAGUGAUUAUCCAAGUGAGAUCCAGCCUUGAUGUGUUUACAUCUCAACUCUUCUGAUUCUGGAAGGGGGCCCGGACCGUGCCUCGGGGCUGUGCUGCUCGGGAGUUCUCAGAAGCCAAGUGCCCCGAGGUGAAUUCCUCAGAGUGACUCACAGUUAUCCUCCUGUGACUUGGUAUUAUUCCAUUUGAGAAUUCCUGUUAUUAUUAUGUUUUAAUGGUAGAGAAAUAUUGAUCGGAUUCUAUAAAAAGAAUAAAGCAGACAAGUGUUUGUGUGGACA